ACUUAUUUAGUAUAAUAGUAUAUUUGACUUCCAAUCAAAAGGGCUGGACUCCAGAAUAAGUA
rnacentral:tRNA from 1 species